rnacentral:rRNA from 1 species
CCUACGGGAGGCAGCAGUAAGGAAUAUUGGACAAUGGACGCAAGUCUGAUCCAGCCAUGCCGCGUGAAGGAUUAAGGCCCUCUGGGUUGUAAACUUCUUUUAUAGGGGACGAAAAAAGGGCUUUCUAGCUCGACUGACGGUACCCUAUGAAUAAGCACCGGCUAACUCCGUGCCAGCAGCCGCGGUAAUACGGAGGGUGCAAGCGUUAUCCGGAUUCACUGGGUUUAAAGGGUGCGUAGGCGGGCAUUUAAGUCAGUGGUGAAAUCUUCGAGCUCAACUCGGAAACUGCCAUUGAUACUAUUUGUCUUGAAUAUUGUGGAGGUGAGCGGAAUAUGUCAUGUAGCGGUGAAAUGCUUAGAUAUGACAUAGAACACCGAUUGCGAAGGCAGCUCGCUACACAAAUAUUGACGCUGAGGCACGAAAGCGUGGGGAUCAAGACGAGUAUAGACUACCGUAGGUACGUCCACCGACCCUAAACUAGUAGGUAUACGUCGACUAUUGCGUAUACACGAGUAAGUGUCUGAGACGAAGACUAAUUAAGUACUACCCACCGUAGGGAAGUACCGACCGACCGUAAGGUUACGAAACGUACGAAAAGGUAAGUUAGGACCGGACGUAGACGACGCGACGGACGGACGACGACGGAGGGGAGGAGG